AGUGAACGCUGGCGGUAGGCCCAACACAUGCAAGUCGAACGGCAGCACAGUAAGAGCUUGCUCUUACGGGUGGCGAGUGGCGGACGGGUGAGGAAUACAUCGGAAUCUACUUUUUCGUGGGGGAUAACGUAGGGAAACUUACGCUAAUACCGCAUACGACCUACGGGUGAAAGCAGGGGAUCUUCGGACCUUGCGCGAUUGAAUGAGCCGAUGUCGGAUUAGCUAGUUGGCGGGGUAAAGGCCCACCAAGGCGACGAUCCGUAGCUGGUCUGAGAGGAUGAUCAGCCACACUGGAACUGAGACACGGUCCAGACUCCUACGGGAGGCAGCAGUGGGGAAUAUUGGACAAUGGGCGCAAGCCUGAUCCAGCCAUACCGCGUGGGUGAAGAAGGCCUUCGGGUUGUAAAGCCCUUUUGAUGGGAAAGAAAAGCAGCAGGUUAAUACCCCGCUGUUCUGACGGUACCCAAAGAAUAAGCACCGGCUAACUUCGUG
rnacentral:rRNA from 1 species